rnacentral:rRNA from 1 species
AUUGAACGCUGGCGGCAGGCCUAACACAUGCAAGUCGAGCGGAGCGGCGGACGGGUGAGUAAUGCCUAGGAAUCUGCCUGGUAGUGGGGGAUAACGUCCGGAAACGGUGGCUAAUACCGCAUACUAUCGGAUGAGCCCAUAUGGGAUUAGCUAGUUGGUGGGGUUAAGGCUCACCUAGGCGACGAUCCCUAGCUGGUCUGAGAGGAUGAUCAGGCAGACUGGGGCUGAGACACGGGCCAGACUCCUACGGAAGGCAGCAGGGGGGAAUAUUGCACAAUGGGCGCAAGCCGGAUCCAGCCAUGCCGCGAGUGUGAAUAAGGCCGUAGGUUUAUAUAGUACUUUUUGGGGUGAGGCGUUACCAGCAGGAUAAGCACCGGCUAACUCCGUGCCAGCGGCCGCGGUAAUUC